GAUGAACGCUGGCGGCGUGCUUAACACAUGCAAGUCGAACGGAAAGGCCCAAGCUUGCUUGGGUACUCGAGUGGCGAACGGGUGAGUAACACGUGGGUGAUCUGCCCUGCACUUCGGGCUAAGCCUGGGAAACUGGGUCUAAUACCGGAUAGGACGAUGGUUUGGGUGCCAUUGUGGAAAGUUUUUACGGUGUGGGAUGAGCUCGCGGCCUAUCAGCUUGUUGGUGGGGUAAUGGCCUACCAACGCGUCGACGGGGAGCCGGCCUGAGAGGGGGGACGGCCACACUGGGACUGAGAUACGGCCCAGACUCCUACGGGAGGCAGCAGGGGGGAAUAUUGCACAAUGGGCGCGAGCCUGAUGCAGCGACGCCGCGUGGGGGAUGACGGCCUUCGGGUUGUAAACUCCUUUCGCUAGGGACGAAGCGUUUUUGUGACGGUACCUGGAGAAGAAGCACCGGCUAACUACGUG
rnacentral:rRNA from 1 species